AAUGAAAUUUCUGGGUCAUAUGGUAAGUGUAUGUUUAAUUUUAAAGAAACUGCCAAAGUGUUUUCCAAAAUAAUUGAGCCAUUUUAUAUCCCAUCAGCAAU
rnacentral:pre_miRNA from 2 species